rnacentral:rRNA from 1 species
CCUACGGGAGGCAGCAGUGGGGAAUAUUGGACAAUGGGGGGAACCCUGAUCCAGCCAUGCCGCGUGUGUGAAGAAGGCCUUAUGGUUGUAAAGCACUUUAAGCGUAGGAGGAGGCUCUUCUAGUUAAUACCUAGGAUGAGUGGACGUUACUCGCAGAAUAAGCACCGGCUAACUCUGUGCCAGCAGCCGCGGUAAUACAGAGGGUGCGAGCGUUAAUCGGAUUUACUGGGCGUAAAGCGUGCGUAGGCGGCUUUUUAAGUCGGAUGUGAAAUCCCCGAGCUUAACUUGGGAAUUGCAUUCGAUACUGGGAAGCUAGAGUAUGGGAGAGGAUGGUAGAAUUCCAGGUGUAGCGGUGAAAUGCGUAGAGAUCUGGAGGAAUACCGAUGGCGAAGGCAGCCAUCUGGCCUAAUACUGACGCUGAGGUACGAAAGCAUGGGGAGCAAACUAGGAUUAGAUACCCUGGUAGUCCAUGCCGUAAACGAUGUCUACUAGCCUUGGGGCCUUUGAGGCUUUAGCGGUCGCAGCUAACGCGAUAAGUAGACCGCCUGGGGAAUCGGUCGCAAGCAAACGUUAAUGAAAUUGACGGCUGAGACGNGCGAGGACGACGACGAGGGAGAGG